CGUGUAGCCGGGUCGGCAAGUCAGAUGUGAAAUCCACGGGCUCAACUCGUGAACUGCAUUUGAAACUGUUGAUCUUGAGUAUCGGAGAGGUAAUCGGAAUUCCUUGUGUAGCGGUGAAAUGCGUAGAUAUAAGGAAGAACACCAGUGGCGAAGGCGGAUUACUGGACGACAACUGACGGUGAGGCGCGAAAGCGUGGGGAGCAAACA
rnacentral:rRNA from 1 species